AACGCACAUUGCGCCCUCUGGUAUUCCAGGGGGCAUGCCUGUUCGAGCGUCAUUACAACCCUCACGCCCUGCGUGGUAUUGGGCUCGCCCUCCAGGGCUUGCCUCAAAGUCAGUGGCGGCACCGUCUGACCCCUAAGCGUAGUAAUACACCUCGCUUUUGGACGCUAGAUGGAGGCUCGCCAUGAACCCCCCACUCUAUAGGUUGACCUCGGAUCAGGUAGGGAUACCCGCUGAACUUAA
rnacentral:misc_RNA from 1 species